rnacentral:rRNA from 1 species
ACCAAAGUGGUGCCGCCGGGGUGAUUACACGGUGUAACCUCCCAAAGAACGGGGGGUAAACCCUGGAAACAGUUGGUAUUCCCGUAUACAGAGAAAACCCCCCUGGUUUCCUUUAAAAAAUGGUUUUGCUUACACUUUUGGAAGGGCCCCGCGGGCCAUUAGCUAGUUGGUGAGGUAACGGCUCACCAAGGCGAUGAUGCGUAGCCGACCUGAAAGGGUAAUCGGCCCCAUUGGGACUGAGACACGGCCCAGACUCCUACGGGAGGCAGCAGUAGGGAAUCUUCCACAAUGGACGCAAGUCUGAUGGAGCAACCCCGCGUGAGUGAAGAAGGGUUUCGGCUCGUAAAGCUCUGUUGUUAAAGAAGAACGUGGGUGAGAGUAACUGUUCACCCAGUGACGGUAUUUAACCAGAAAGCCACGGCUAACUACGUGCCAGCAGCCGCGGUAAUACGUAGGUGGCAAGCGUUAUCCGGAUUUAUUGGGCGUAAAGCGAGCGCAGGCGGUCUUUUAAGUCUAAUGUGAAAGCCUUCGGCUCAACCGAAGAAGUGCAUUGGAAACUGGGAGACUUGAGUGCAGAAGAGGACAGUGGAACUCCAUGUGUAGCGGUGAAAUGCGUAGAUAUAUGGAAGAACACCAGUGGCGAAGGCGGCUGUCUGGUCUGUAACUGACGCUGAGGCUCGAAAGCAUGGGUAGCGAACAGGAUUAGAUACCCUGGUAGUCCAUGCCGUAAACGAUGAUUACUAAGUGUUGGAGGGUUUCCGCCCUUCAGUGCUGCAGCUAACGCAUUAAGUAAUCCGCCUGGGGAGUACGACCGCAAGGUUGAAACUCAAAAGAAUUGACGGGGGCCCGCACAAGCGGUGGAGCAUGUGGUUUAAUUCGAAGCUACGCGAAGAACCUUACCAGGUCUUGACAUCUUCUGCCAACCUAAGAGAUUAGGCGUUCCCUUCGGGGACAGAAUGACAGGUGGUGCAUGGUUGUCGUCAGCUCGUGUCGUGAGAUGUUGGGUUAAGUCCCGCAACGAGCGCAACCCUUAUUACUAGUUGCCAGCAUUCAGUUGGGCACUCUAGUGAGACUGCCGGUGACAAACCGGAGGAAGGUGGGGACGACGUCAAAUCAUCAUGCCCCUUAUGACCUGGGCUACACACGUGCUACAAUGGAUGGUACAACGAGUCGCGAAACCGCGAGGUUUAGCUAAUCUCUUAAAACCAUUCUCAGUUCGGACUGUAGGCUGCAACUCGCCUACACGAAGUCGGAAUCGCUAGUAAUCGCGGAUCAGCAUGCCGCGGUGAAUACGUUCCCGGGCCUUGUACACACCGCCCGUCACACCAUGAGAGUUUGUAACACCCAAAGCCGGUGGGGUAACCUUUUAGGAGCUAGCCGUCUAAGGGGGCAG